CCUCGUUCCGAGGGGUGCUCGCAAGAGCUGAGAUGGCGUCCGACGCCGAACCCGUCGAACCUGAUCCGGGUCAUACCGGCGGAGGGACUGGAACGCGGCCUACGC
rfam:Bosea sp. WAO WAO_contig_7, whole genome shotgun sequence.